rnacentral:rRNA from 1 species
UACAGAGGGGGCAAGCGUUGUUCGGAAUUACUGGGCGUAAAGGGCGCGUAGGCGGCCUGCUAAGUCGGACGUGAAAUCCCUCGGCUUAACCGAGGAACUGCGUCCGAUACUGAAAGGCUUGAAUCCGGGAGAGGGAUGUGGAAUUCCAGGUGUAGCGGUGAAAUGCGUAGAUAUCUGGAGGAACACCGGUGGCGAAGGCGGCAUCCUGGACCGGCAUUGACGCUGAGGCGCGAAAGCUAGGGGAGCAAACGGG